CACACUAACCAUGAAUAUGCUUAGCCCAGAAGAUCGAAACAUUUUGUUUACUUUAAUUUAGUUUUUAAUUCCUUGUCUGUACAGGAUAUUGUCCUCGAAAGGUGCAAUUCUAUUGUGUGUUUAUUUGGAACCAAACACAUUAACAUUCACGCCUCUUCGCACUCUAACUAAGGUAGUUAGAGUGCGAAGAGGCGUGAAUGUUAAUGUGUUUGUAGACAAUGCUGCCUAUCGAGAAUUCUUGAAUUCUAAGUUCGAGGCAACUCCAAUCGACAUGGAAAGUGUUGCAGUAGCCCUUGUAUGUCACCAACAAAGGACGCCUUUUAUAGCAAUUAGGGCAAUUUCCAAUAUACCUGGUGGCACUUCUUUUGUUGACGAAUCUACCAUCUCUCCACUAAUUGUUCAAAAUACAGUCAAGGUUGUGCUUAAGUUUAUUUUUUUGGCAUCGGAGGAAAAGCUAACCCUUGAUGCGGCUGAGUGAAGUUUGCCAGCUAAUGGUUUGUGUAUGUUCUAGUGUUGUCAGUCGAUUGAACUCGACUUGACUCAAUAAGGCUGUUAGCCAAUGUUGUAUGCACUUUAAGUUCGUUAUUAUAUAAAAUCUAGUCGAUGUAUUCGACUCUAUUAACAGUGUUGCUAGUAUUUUGAUUGCAUUACAUUUUUUAUCUUUAAUGGAAUAUGUUGAUAGACAACCAAUGAA
rnacentral:lncRNA from 1 species